AUUGAACGCUGGCGGCAUGCUUUACACAUGCAAGUCGAACGGUAACAGGUUAAGCUGACGAGUGGCGAACGGGUGAGUAAUGCAUCGGAACGUGCCCGAUCGUGGGGGAUAACGCAGCGAAAGCUGCGCUAAUACCGCAUACGAUCUGAGGAUGAAAGCGGGGGACCGUAAGGCCUCGCGCGAUCGGAGCGGCCGAUGUUGGAUUAGGUAGUUGGUGGGGUAAAGGCCCACCAAGCCGACGAUCUGUAGCUGGUCUGAGAGGACGACCAGCCACACUGGGACUGAGACACGGCCCAGACUCCUACGGGAGGAAGCAGUGGGGAAUUUUGGACAAUGGGCGAAAGCCUGAUCCAGCAAUGCCGCGCGCAGGAAGAAGGCCUUCGGGUUGUAAACUGCUUUUGUACGGAGCGAAAAGGUCCUUUCUAAUACAGGGGGCUCAUGACGGUACCGUAAGAAUAAGCACCGGCUAACUACGUGCCAGCAGCCGCCGUAA
rnacentral:rRNA from 1 species